AGUGAACGCUGGCGGUAUGCCUAACACAUGCAAGUCGAACGGCAGCACAGUAAGAUCUUGCUCUUACCGUUGGCGAGUGACGGACGGGUGAGGCAUACAUCGCCUUCUUCUUUUUCGGGGGGGAUAACGUGAGACAACAUACACUACUACCUCAUACGUCCUACGGCUGAAAGCAAUGGUGCUUCGGACCUUUGGCGAUUCAAUGAGCCGAUGUCGCAUUAGCUAGUUGGCGAGGUAAAGGCCCACCAAGGCGACGAUGCGUAGCGGGUCUGAGAGGAUGAUCAGCCACACUGGAACUGAGACACGGUCCAGACUCCUACGGGAGGCAGCAGUGGGGAAUCUUGGGCAAUGGGCGCAAGCCUGACCGAGCCAUACCGCGUGAGUGAAGAAGGUCUUCGGGUCGUAAAGCCCUUUUGUUGGGGAAGAAAAGCAGCGGAUUAAUCCCUGGCUGUUUUGACGGUACCCAAAGAAUAAGCCCCGGCUAACUUCGUG
rnacentral:rRNA from 1 species